rnacentral:rRNA from 1 species
GUUGUAUAGUCAAGUAAUUAAGUGCAUGUGGUGGAUGCCUUGGCAGUCAGAGGCGAUGAAAGACGUGAUAGCCUGCGAAAAGCUCCGGGGAGGCGGCAAAUAUCCUUUGAUCCGGAGAUGUCUGAAUGGGGGAACCCACCUACUUUAAGGUAGGUAUUGCAACAUGAAUACAUAGUGUUGCAAGGCGAACGAGGGGAAGUGAAACAUCUCAGUACCCUUAGGAAAAGAAAUCAAUUGAGAUUCCCUCAGUAGCGGCGAGCGAACGGGGAUCAGCCCAUUAAGUUAUGUGUGUUUUAGUGGAACGCUCUGGGAAGUGCGAACGUAGAGGGUGAUAUUCCCGUACACGAAAGGGCACACAUAAUGAUGACGAGUAGGGCGAGGCACGUGAAACCUUGUCUGAAUAUGGGGGGACCAUCCUCCAAGGCUAAAUACUCCUGACUGACCGAUAGUGAACCAGUACCGUGAGGGAAAGGCGAAAAGAACCCCUGUGAGGGGAGUGAAAUAGAUCCUGAAACCGCAUGCAUACAAGCAGUGGGAGCACCUUCGUGGUGUGACUGCGUACCUUUUGUAUAAUGGGUCAGCGACUUAUAUUCAGUAGCGAGGUUAACCGUAUAGGGGAGCCGUAGAGAAAUCGAGUCUUAAUAGGGCGUUUAGUUGCUGGGUAUAGACCCGAAACCAGGCGAUCUAUCCAUGAGCAGGUUGAAGGUUGGGUAACACUAACUGGAGGACCGAACCCACUGUCGUUGAAAAGCCAGGGGAUGACUUGUGGAUAGGGGUGAAAGGCUAAUCAAGCCUGGUGAUAGCUGGUUCUCCCCGAAAGCUAUUUAGGUAGCGCCUCGGACGAAUACCAUAGGGGGUAGAGCACUGUUUCGGCUAGGGGGUCAUCCCGACUUACCAAACCGAUGCAAACUCCGAAUACCUAUGAGUACUAUCCGGGAGACAGACUGCGGGUGCUAACGUCCGUAGUCAAGAGGAAAACAAUCCAGACCGCCAGCUAAGGCCCCAAAAUCAUAGUUAAGUGGGAAACGAUGUGGGAAGGCAUAGACAGCUAGGAGGUUGGCUUAGAAGCAGCCACCCUUUAAAGAAAGCGUAAUAGCUCACUAGUCGAGUCGGCCUGCGCGGAAGAUGUAACGGGGCUAAAACUAUGUGCCGAAGCUGCGGAUNNNNNNNNNNNNNNNNNNNNNNNNNNNNAUGCUGGAGGUAUCAGAAGUGCGAAUGCUGACGUGAGUAACGACAAAACGGGUGAAAAACCCGUUCGCCGAAAGACCAAGGGUUCCAGUCCAACGUUAAUCGGGGCUGGGUGAGUCGACCCCUAAGGCGAGGCCGAAAGGCGUAGUCGAUGGGAAAAUGGUUAAUAUUCCAUUACUUCUGUGUAAUGCGAUGAGAGGACGGAGAAGGCUAAAUCAGCCUGGCGUUGGUUGUCCAGGUGAAAGGAUGUAGGCAUGUAUCUUAGGCAAAUCCGGGGUACUCUAUGCUGAGAUCUGAUAGCAAGCUGUACUUGUACAGCGAAGUGGUUGAUGCCAUGCUUCCAGGAAAAGUCUCUAAGCUUCAGUUACACAGGAAUCGUACCCGAAACCGACACAGGUGGUCAGGUCGAGUAGACCAAGGCGCUUGAGAGAACUCUGCUGAAGGAACUAGGCAAAAUGGUACCGUAACUUCGGGAGAAGGUACGCUGUUGUUGGUGAUGGAACUCGCUUCCUGAGCUGACGACAGCCGCAGAAACCAGGCCGCUGCAACUGUUUAUUAAAAACAUAGCACUCUGCAAACACGAAAGUGGACGUAUAGGGUGUGAUGCCUGCCCGGUGCUGGAAGGUUAAUUGAUGGGGUUAGCGUAAGCGAAGCUCUUGAUCGAAGCCCCAGUAAACGGCGGCCGUAACUAUAACGGUCCUAAGGUAGCGAAAUUCCUUGUCGGGUAAGUUCCGACCUGCACGAAUGGCAUAAUGAUGGCGGCGCUGUCUCCAGCAGAGGCUCAGUGAAAUCGAAAUCGCUGUGAAGAUGCAGUGUACCCGCGGCUAGACGGAAAGACCCCGUGAACCUUUACUGCAGCUUGACACUGAACUUUGACCUUACUUGUGUAGGAUAGGUGGGAGGCUUUGAAGCUGGAACGCUAGUUCCAGUGGAGCCGUCCUUGAAAUACCACCCUGGUAAUGUUGAGGUUCUAACUCUGUCCCGUGAUCCGGGACGAGGACCGUGUCUGGUGGGUAGUUUGACUGGGGCGGUCUCCUCCUAAAGAGUAACGGAGGAGUACGAAGGUGCGCUCAGCGUGGUCGGAAAUCACGCGUAGAGUAUAAAGGCAAAAGCGCGCUUAACUGCGAGACCCACAAGUCGAGCAGGUACGAAAGUAGGUCUUAGUGAUCCGGUGGUUCUGUAUGGAAGGGCCAUCGCUCAACGGAUAAAAGGUACUCUGGGGAUAACAGGCUGAUACCGCCCAAGAGUUCAUAUCGACGGCGGUGUUUGGCACCUCGAUGUCGGCUCAUCUCAUCCUGGGGCUGAAGCAGGUCCCAAGGGUAUGGCUGUUCGCCAUUUAAAGAGGUACGCGAGCUGGGUUUAGAACGUCGUGAGACAGUUCGGUCCCUAUCUACCGUGGGCGCUGGAAAUUUGAGAGGAUCUGCUCCUAGUACGAGAGGACCAGAGUGGACGAACCUCUGGUGUACCGGUUGUGACGCCAGUCGCAUCGCCGGGUAGCUAUGUUCGGAAGGGAUAACCGCUGAAAGCAUCUAAGCGGGAAGCCUACCUCAAGAUAAGAUUUCCCUAGGACUUUAUGUCCUCUAAAGAGCCGUUCGAGACUAGGACGUUGAUAGGUUGGAUGUGGAAGCAUAGUGAUAUGUGAAGCUGACCAAUACUAAUUGCUCGUGAGGCUUGACUAUACAACACCCAAGCAGUUG